rnacentral:rRNA from 1 species
AUGUAUCCGGAGGGCUCCAUAAUCUUCAAACAUGACCUGGUGAAGCAAUGGGUGGCUGAAAGGUUUAUUUCUACAAGUGAAGGGCAAGACACAAAGGAAGUUGCAGGGAUGUAUUUCGAUGAGCUUGUUGAUAGAAGAUUCAUCCAGUCCAUGUAUAUGAACUUCAACAAUGAGGUGGUGUCCUGCACAGUGCAUGACGUGGUACAUGAUCUUAUUGCACACAAGUCUGCAGAAGAGAAUUUCGUCGUGGUAGUAGAUUACAAUCAAAAGAAUUUGGCACUUUCUCAUAUNNUCCAUCGACUGUCUCUCCAACUUGGUGAUGCAAAAAAUGCCAAGACACCAGCAAACAUCAGAAAGUCACAAGUACGGUCACUUGGAAUUUUUGGAGCAUCGGAGUGUAUGCCUUGUAUUGGAGAUUUCAAGCUUAUUCGUGUUCUAAACCUUCAAUUGUCUGGCCAUCAUCAUGGUGACCAAGACCAGGCCAUCGACCUCACUGGGAUAUCAGAAUUGUUCCAUUUGACAUAUUUGAAGAUUGCUUGUGAUGUCUGCAUAAAACUGCCAAGCCAUAUGAGAGGGCUUCAAUGUCUGGAAACACUGGAUGUCAAGGAUACAACAAGAGGCACUCAUGUUCCAUGGGAUAUUAUAUAUCUCCCACACUUGUUGCACCUCAGUCUUCCAGCUCACUCAAAUCUGCUGGAUUGGUCCGUCAAUCCACCUGGGAGCCUUGGCAUGUUGAGCCACCUGCAUGAUAUUUAUAUUUCUACGCCGCCUUCUUCCGAUUACUACCAUCUGGAGAGAAGCAUGGAAGCUCUGGAUUCUUUAAUAUCUGAACAUGGCAGCCUGAAAACUAUACAAGUGGUGGCUCACAGAUCCUUGGUUGGGUGUGGUGACGCUUCAAAAGCCAGAGUUGGCUGGUAUUUCGUCAAACCUCCCCACCAUCUCCGGAGAUUUGAGCUCUCACCACACAAACCCGUCGUAUUUUGCCAUCUGGAUGUGUGGAUGAAACAACUUGGCAACCUAUGCAUUCUGAAGAUUGCAGUGGAUGGACUGUCAGUAAAUGAUGUUCGUAUUCUUAAAGGGUUGCGUUGCCUCACUGCUCUGUCGUUGUGUGUGGAGAAGUCGCCUGAUAUUAAGAUAAUCUUUGGCACGGCUGCUGGAUUCACAACUCUCAAGUACUUGAAGCUGAGGUUCCUGAGUGAAAUAGCUUGGCUAAGAUUUGAGAUGGACGCAAUGCCUAAUCUCCGGAAGCUCAGGCUUGUUUUUGACGCCAUCCUCCAAAUGGACCAACGACUUGAACUUUUUUCGGAGUCUGAGCAGUGGAAACAAUAUCGACAUGGUACUGCAUUAAUCAGCAUCGAGCAUAUAACAGGCCUUACAGAGGUCUCCGCAAAAUUUGUGGGUGCAGCUGCUGAUCUAGAUUAUUCACUCUAA